UUGCCUUUUUCAGCCUUUUAGACAAAAUCAAGUGUAAUAUCCAUUCUUGUCAAUUUUAUCCCAGACAUAUCUUCAGUUUGCAGACUUGAUGUUAAAUGGGUCUGUUAAAUGGGAGUGGGAGGUGGACUUGGAGCUUGCCUGAUGCCUUGACCCAGCAAUGCAGUGCCCCUGGGAACAGGGUGAUGGGA
rnacentral:snRNA from 1 species